UACGGAGGGGGCUAGCGUUAUUCGGAAUUAUUGGGCGUAAAGGGCGCGUAGGCGGCCCGGUAAGUCAAAGGUGAAAUCCCUCGGCUCAACUGAGGAACUGCCUUUGAAACUGUCGGGCUUGAGGCCGGGAGGGGGUAGCGGAAUUCCCAGUGUAGCGGUGAAAUGCGUAGAUACUGGGAGGAACACCAGUGGCGAAGGCGGCUACCUGGACCGGAUCUGACGCUGAUGCGCGAAAGCGUGGGUAGCAAACAGG
rnacentral:rRNA from 1 species